UCAUUUUGGAUUUUGCGUGCGCCAACAGCUGUUCACGGUGCUUCACCGUCCUUCUAUUUACAGAUUUCGAGGGUGACCACUGUACGAAACUUUCUCUUCGUGACAAAUAUGAAAAACAGCAUUUAUACCAAUAAUGAGAACAAGAGUAAGGCGUAAUUCUUAAGCAUAGUUUUGACGAACGCGGAACAUGAAAUUACGACUAGUAAAUUUAUAUAGUGGAGAAAUAAAUUGAUUGACACGGUUGUUGGUCAUGCAGCUAAUGGAAGAUAAGUUGUUCUGUUUUAGAUUAUUAUUGCACAAUUUAUGGAGUCAUGGAUGAAUCAAUCUUUGUUUCGAUAAAAUAAAAGAAGUGAAAUCGAUUUAGAGUUUUAUUGUUAAUUUGCAUUCGUCGAUAGACUAUACUUUAUUUGUGAAACAUCCAAUUGAAUUAAAUUUAUUGUCUGUCUCUUGAUCAAUAAAUAAUUAUCGCGUAUUAAAGUCAAUGCACCAUGGAAGACGAUCAAGAAACUAGUAUAUUUCUUCUAUAGAACAAUAGUAUCAAUCUACUACAACUUCUACCUACUUCAUUUUAAAUUUACUUUGAUGUAAAUCUAUCUUAUUUUUGACUUAUUACGAGUCAACCUACUCUAAUUUCAACCUACAAUAAGGAUGAAUGUUUUGGACCGUGGAAUUUCUUAAAUAAAGUCCGUUUUCCUAACGAGGAGUGAUAAGCCAUGGAUGCGCGGAUGGAAACUUUUAUUCUCGCAGGAACUUUCGGGGUCGAGUGGGCUCAGCACGAAGUGUGGGGCCUUUGUGUGGCCCACGAGUUCCCAUCGUUGCUCCACCCGAUGUCUGCUGCCGCUGCUGCUGCUGCUGCUGCUGUUGCCGCUGUUGCUGCUGCUGCUGUGGUUGCUGCUGCUGUUGCCGCUGCUACUGCUGCUGCUGCUGCUGCUGCUGUAGCUGUUGUAUCUGUUGUUGGAUACCGCGGACAACCUCCGUCAGUACCCUUAUUGACUCCCUUACAUCCGGAGACUUUGAUCGGCUAUUCCCAGCCGGUGGAUUCUCCAGAACCUUCUCCAUUCUUUUAUUCGCCCUCUUGAGGCGAACGUUUUCCUCCAUGGCCUCUCCAUUGCGCAGAUCCUUAGCCCUCAAUUCUGCCUUCAGCUGCGUAAUGGUUUCCUUGGCUGACGGAGGAUCGUCCGCCCGGGUUUCGAGCCUCUCGCUCAGGGUCUUAAUUCCCCCCAUCAUUACCUUAUGGGAAUUCUUCAUCACCACUGAGAUUUCACCCUUAAGGUUGCGGCAUCUCAGCCUGGCACUUUCUGCCGCCAUGGAGGCUUCCCGGAUGCUAUUCAGCACCCUACCAGUCUCCACUUGAAACAAGGGAGUCUCCGCUGGGCCACCCUCACCUAGUGCGGGCCAGUCAGCCCCCAGCUCAUCCUCCUCAGAAGAGUAGAUCAUAGGCCUUGCGCGCUCGUGCCUUCUCCCCUGCUUUGGCGAGUUCAGGCCGGAGAGCCGCAUGCUCUCAACAGCACUGGCAGUUCUUUCCAGUUCCUUUGCUUGGUACUCUUCGUUUCGUAUCCUUCCUGGCGCAUUAGUUACACCGCAGGCCAGGUCGCCUACCUGUGGUAUCCUUCCUGACGCAUCAUCCAGAGCUGAGGCCAGGUUGCCUACCCCGAGCUCCUGGCAGUCGUUGGUUGACGACGGUGGAUGGCCUACUCUACCACCAUCUGACACCGCCGUGGCGUGGGUAUCCCUCCCACGCCCGCUUAUUAGUUUCAUUGUACUAUCCAUGUCAUGUAUUAAGAUAUAUUAGUGGGAGCCAAGCUUCCCAGCAGAAAGGAAAGGAACGGAAGGAAGCUAGUGAGAGAGAGAUAGAAUAGAAAAAGAUAUGUCAAGAAGUAUAAAGGAAGGAAUAGCCAUACAAGAUCAUUCAUAAACCAUUCACUCAAUCCCUUUUAGUCGCCUUUUACAACAAGCAGAGGGUACUAUGGGAGUAUUCUGCUUCCCCCUACCCACGGGGGGGGGGUUGCUUUGACUGUAGCGUAAGUCGCGUAGCUUUAUUCUGAGAGAGGCUUGAACUACCACGUCAUCCCAAGUUUCAUAGGGGUCGCUAUACUGAGACCUUUGCAUGUUCUAUCGAUUGUAACUGUGCCGCUAAUAGUUAAACUUAUUGUAUCUGCCUUGUCAUUGAGUAAUUCUCUUAUGUAGGCAUUUAGACUCAAAGAGAGACUUUCUAUUGAGUGUACUUGUUGGCAUAGAUGGUAAUUUAAUGUGAAUAAAUACUCCUAACGUCCAUUAUGGACGAUGGAUUUGUGCGAGUGCAUUCCACAAUGAAAUAUUGUUCUGUCGAUUUCUACUCUGCUCUGUAGUACUUUACCGAAUUGCAAUUGGCUGCUUGUAAUAGCUGUAUGUAGACGGAGUUGUUGGUAGUUUGUAGAUUUGGUAUCUCGCAAUCGGCUAUAUCCAGAAGAGAAAAUGUAGAGAUAUUUAAUGAAAUUGUUGCACUAUCAUAUCGGACUAAGACCACUGCUAUUCUUACUAAAGUUAGUAUUAUAAAAAGAAUAUUUAUGGUUUCGACUGAAGAUUAUAUAUUUGAUUUGUCUCGUAGGAGAGAACAAUUGAUACUGACACACCUGUUUGCGCUGCUUAUAUGCUAGUUCUUAUCGACUAUCGAUGUUGUGGGAAGCCGCCUUAUCGAUCGUCAUCAUGGAAAGGAGAGCGACUGUUUCGCCAUGCUGCGCUUAUUGAAACCGCGUGUCGGUGAUGCAGAUUUCCAUAAUGUCGACUUAUAGAACUUGGAAAUUAAACUAGCUUAUUGAGUUUUUAUCUAUUAUUUGGUAUGUACUACACAAUUGCCUUUGUGGGUACAUAUUUUUAUAUUAUUUUUUUCCUUGAUCUCUAUGACGUCAUAUGGUCCUAUAUAUCUAUCAUUGAAUUUCCACUUUUGCGUUCCUUUUAAAAGAUACGCUUAUCAUAUACUUUAAAAUUAACGACUCUUUGCCUUUUGUCAUAGUACGUUUUUGCUUUAUAUUCUGAACAGAUUAAAUUAUGUCUUGCUGGCUUUUGAGAUUUGUUGAACUGUUCGUUUAAUACGCCCAAAUAAUUCGCGCAUGUUUCAUUCUGUAAGUCAUUGUAGAUGGACUCGUUGGGUGUCCUAGCUAGUUGACCAAAUAUAAUUGUUCAUCGGUUCCUCAUGCACGCUCGUAUUAGAGGAGAACAUUGCUAUGUCGACCCAAUUAUCACAAUCGUUAUUUUCGGCGAUAAAGUGCUUGAGGAACUCGAUGAGUACGUGAUGAGAACGUUCGAUGAAGCCAUUUGUUUGCGAGUGAUUCGCGAUAGUAGUAUUCAAUAAUAGUUCGAAGGUUAGUUUUCUACACCAUUUUGUGGACUUGCGUAACGGAUUGUUGUAGGAGUUCAUUUGGUCGGAUAAAUCGACAGCCGCCUUUCCUCUGUUGUAAUCUACUAUAAUUCGUGGCUUAAACUUGUUUCCUGAUCGGCAUUGAACAUUCACCAUUUCUGACGCGUGCCUUGUCAAUAGAACUAGGACGUCCUUUUUAUCUCUCCACUUCAAAAUGAUUAUUCCUUGAUUAUUUUCUUCCGCUAUGAUUUCUGCUCGUUUUAAUUUUGUUGAUAUAACUUGCUGCGAAUAUCCUCGUCUAUUUGAACGCAGUGUUCCCACAAAAUGGGUGUUUUUGUGGAUCAAUUUUUCCGCUAAUUCUAGGCUCAUGUACCACUUAUC